GUAAACAAGCAGUAGUACUUCCUGCUUUAUCACGAUAAUUUUUCGACUCAUCAGAAAUAUCCGAAAGUGUUAACUUCUGCGUCAUGGAAGCGAUAAAACUCUGCAGGUUGGAUACGCCAAUCAUUUUUAUCGCUUCCAUGACGCAGAAGUUAACACUUUCGGAUAUUUCUGAUGAGUCGAAAAAUUAUC
rnacentral:rRNA from 1 species